UCCCAGAGUAUGCCUGUUCGCGGGCUAGGUUGUGGCAUGCCACAACCUAGCCCGCGAACAGGCAUACUCUGGGC
rnacentral:miRNA from 1 species